UGCGGGUGGUAACGUCCUGCC
rnacentral:siRNA from 1 species